rnacentral:rRNA from 1 species
GAUGAACGCUAGCUACAGGCUUAACACAUGCAAGUCGAGGGGCAGCACGGAGAUAGCUUGCUAUCUUGGAUGGCGACCGGCGCACGGGUGAGUAACGCGUAUCCAACCUGCCCAUUACUCUGGGAUAGCCUUGCGAAAGUAAGAUUAAUACCGGAUGUUGUUAAAAACCCGCAUGAGUUUUUAACCAAAGAUUUAUUGGUAAUGGAUGGGGAUGCGUGACAUUAGGUAGUUGGUGAGGUAACGGCUCACCAAGCCGACGAUGUCUAGGGGUUCUGAGAGGAAGGUCCCCCACACUGGAACUGAGACACGGUCCAGACUCCUACGGGAGGCAGCAGUGAGGAAUAUUGGUCAAUGGACGAGGGUCUGAACCAGCCAAGUAGCGUGCAGGAUGACGGCCCUCUGGGUUGUAAACUGCUUUUAGUUGGGAAUAAAAAGAGGGACGUGUCCCUAAUUGUAUGUACCAUCAGAAAAAGGACCGGCUAAUUCCGUGCCAGCCGCCGCGGUAAAAC